CGAAUGUUCUACGGAAACUCAUAAUUGCCAUGGUAAUGCGACCUGCACUGAUACACGUGGUUCCCAUACCUGUACAUGUUUGGCAGGUUUCACUGGAAAUGGGAUAUAUUGUGAAGGUAGGGAAGAAACAGAUUCAAAUUACACUUAACUGCAUCUGUUCUUUUCAAUAUCACAUUAUGUUUGCACUGCUUUAACUAUUACAUAAUCUCGGAAAUAGAUUUAGAGCAGGCUUUGAUUUUAGUUUAUAUUGUACAUUCCUAGAGAUCAACGAGUGCCUUCAACCUGGCGCAUGCCCAGAAAAUGCAAUUUGUAACGAUCUAAUAGGACGAUGUGAAUACACAUGUCAGCCAGG